rnacentral:rRNA from 1 species
GGGGAUCGGAGGAACUCCAACCCCUGUGACAUACCUUACUGUUGCCUCGGCGGAUCAGCCCGCUCCCGGUAAAACGGGACGGCCCGCCAGAGGACCCCUAAACUCUGUUUCUAUAUGUAACUUCUGAGUAAAACCAUAAAUAAAUCAAAACUUUCAACAACGGAUCUCUUGGUUCUGGCAUCGAUGAAGAACGCAGCAAAAUGCGAUAAGUAAUGUGAAUUGCAGAAUUCAGUGAAUCAUCGAAUCUUUGAACGCACAUUGCGCCCGCCAGUAUUCUGGCGGGCAUGCCUGUUCGAGCGUCAUUUCAACCCUCAAGCCCUCGGGUUUGGUGUUGGGGAUCGGCGAGCCUUUCUGGCAAGCCGGCCCCGAAAUCUAGUGGCGGUCUCGCUGCAGCCUCCAUUGCGUAGUAGUAAAACCCUCGCAACUGGAACGCGGCGCGGCCAAGCCGUUAAACCCCCAACUUCUGAAUGUUGACCUCGGAUCAGGUAGGAAUACCCGCUGAACUUAAGCAUAUCAAUAAGCGGAGGAA